GACGAACGCUGGCGGCGUGCCUAAUACAUGCAAGUAGAACGCUGAAGGAGGAGCUUGCUUCUCUGGAUGAGUUGCGAACGGGUGAGUAACGCGUAGGUAACCUGCCUGGUAGCGGGGGAUAACUAUUGGAAACGAUAGCUAAUACCGCAUAAGAGUAGAUGUUGCAUGACAUUUGCUUAAAAGGUGCAAUUGCAUCACUACCAGAUGGACCUGCGUUGUAUUAGCUAGUUGGUGAGGUAACGGCUCACCAAGGCAACGAUACAUAGCCGACCUGGGAGGGUGAUCGGCCACACUGGGAAUGAGACACGGCCCAGACUCCUACGGGAGGCAGCAGUAGGGAAUCUUCGGCAAUGGACGGAAGUCUGACCGAGCAACGCCGCGUGAGUGAAGAAGGUUUUCGGAUCGUAAAGCUCUGUUGUAAGAGAAGAACGAGUGUGAGAGUGGAAAGUUCACACUGUGACGGUAUCUUACCAGAAAGGGACGGCUAACUACGUG
rnacentral:rRNA from 1 species